UUUCUUUUCUUUUCUUUUCUUUUCUUUUCUUUUCUUUUCUUUUCUUUUCUUUUCUUUUCUUUUCUUUUUUCUUCCCCCCUUUCCCACCUCUCUCAUUUUUUGGAAAACACAGUAAAGUUUUGUUCAGUUCUCAAGUGUUAUUAAUCACUGGUGGAGGCCAAAAGCAGGGAUAUUUUUCUUGGCAGCACGUUUUGAUAAACAAUCUGUGUAUGGGGUGAAGGGAGGGAGGAGCCUGUCUUGCUGGUAACCAAGUUAAUGUUUGGCAGAUUCUUAACUGUCACGAAAGUGCAAGUGGCUCUCAGUGGGAAUAGCCUUAAAAAAUGUACCGAUUCAGUUGAUUCAUUGUUGUUGAUUGUUUACUACGUCCACAGGAUGUAAGAUGAAAACAGUCCAGGAAAAAGUAAAAAUAACAACAGCGGAGGCCCCAGCUCUGCUUAUCCCAGACUAAAACACACACUGCCCAAUCGCUAGUCUCUCGCAGAGUGAGCAGAAUUAAUUAUAGGUGUCUUAUUUUGCACUCUAAGAUUUGGCAAAGGUUAAUGUGUGGAAAUCUAGGUUCCCAGGCAGGUUUUCAAACCUUAAAGACAGCUGUAGGAAAAUCGGUGUGGGGUGGGUCUCAAAGAGGGACCCCCUCCCCCCCCAGUGCUUCCCGGGCAGAAGGGAGAGGCUGUGUCGGGGGACUGGGGGAGCCGCCGCGGCUGCACGGGGGGCAGCGGGGCUGCGGGCAGGGCAGCGCCCGCCCCGCUGUGCCCUUGGCUCCGCGCUCCAGCACCCAUGUGGAAAACCGGGAAAAGCAGAGGAAACGAGAAGCAACGUCCGUUAAGAAAUGUGUCUUAAGAGUUCCUAGGUGGGAACGCAAUAAACUGUAUGUCAGCAAGGCUCACUACCUGAAAAAUUGUAGGAAAAAACCAGAAUUAUAAUGAGAUGAGAACUGAAAUGAUAAACAGAAACAUGUAACUACUCCUAUUCUUUGUAACUGAGUGUUUUGACACUUCCUGGCAGCUUCUAGUAGAAGACAAUGUUGUUUAACUUUUAAUUUGACAAAAUUAUGCAACUUCUUCCUGAAGUGUUUGUGUUUUGAUUUGCUGAACACUCUCUUUACCACCAAGUGCUCUGUUCACUGCUAAUCUCUGCAUUGUUUUGAAGCCAGUCAUUUGAUUGUGACGGAUUUUAUUUGCUAUUCUGAGGUAAAUCCAUGUAAAUUACACUUUCUGAAGUGCACUACUCUUCUCGUUCUUGUAUUUUUUUCCAGCUGUAGCUGCUGUUUGGAUCAGUAAAGAAAGAGCCAUUUCUGUAAGUGAGUGCCUGCAGAAGAGCCAGCUGCUCUGACGGCUGCCGUGAUCAGUGCCAAAACUUUGUAAAGUGAACAGGAAAGAGUUAAACAUAUUCCCAGGCUGUGAGCAUUUAGAGCCAGACCAGACUGUUCAUUCCCUAGCUGCUGAGAUCAUGGGCUCCUAAUUAUUAUCGCUUGCAAACUUUGGGGCUGUCCUAUAUUCUGCAUAAUUAACAGUGCGCAGCUGAUCGAUAAUCCACAGUACUCCUCUCCCAUCCAGAUCUACAGUAACCGCCGUGUUUUGGGAGCUCAUGUCUGGGAGUGGCACAGGAGUAGUGCCUGGGGUGCAGCCAGGCCACCUGGGUUUUGUCACUUUGUCCUUCAUGGUGUGUUGCACCCUCUGCUUUCCAUACCUGCUGGUGGCUCUAGGAAAGGUAGUGGCCAGCUCCUGCCCGCUGUAUUUAGUAUGAUCAUUUUGAUUCCUUCAUUUAAAUCAAUGCUUCACAUGCUGUUUUAUUGUUACACGGACCAUAUGUGCAUGUGUGUACUUUCAAAUAAAGAUGGUAAUAGGAAUAAAGGGAAAGAGAUUAUCAGAUGGCAGUAUUUAUCCUAGGACUGAAAGGAAGGAAUUAGUAGGUUUCCCUUCUGAUUGUGAAAACUAUAGUCCUUGUCCCUUGGGACUACUGGCAGGUCAUAAACUUUGGGCAAUCUCUGCAGAAUCCCUAAUGCUACAUUGACAGUGCUGACUUGUGUUCCUGCACAGAAAACAGUAGCUGGGUAGAAAUUGUUCUCGGCCGCAGGUCCAUUCCUCCUUGCACUCCCCUUCAUCUCCCUAAACAAUCUACUGUUUGGGGGGUUCUUGUGCUAUUUUUUUGUUUGCUCACUUUUUUUCUUUCAGUUAGCCAGAUUAGACACCUGAAUGGAUUAAUUGUUUGGGCUUCCUCUUUGCUUCCUCCAAAAGUAGUAUUAAUUCUUGGAUUAUUUCAGAGCUAAAUAAACAGCAGGCAUGUUUAGUGUAAAUCCAGCAAGACCAAUCUGGAUUGCUCCUGUCCCGUCACUCGCAUGGCAAAGGCAGAAGGUGAGGUGGGAAAGCUUGCUGCUACCCUCACAAGGACAGUGCUGCCAUAGAUGGGAAGCUUGUUACAUUGCUACCGUUCAAUUUAUUUUUCCCUACCCAGACUAGAUUGAUACUGACAAGUCGUUCCCUGUGAAGGUGCCACAGCGUGGCAUUUAUUUGCAUUUACAUUGCAGUUCUCUUCAUCAAUCAGCUUUGCAGAGAUCACUGCUGCUGCUGGCCAUAUUGUUGCCAUGCUGACACUUCAUCCUUAAGUGCUGCUUGCGUAAUGGUACAGUAUGUGCCCAUGACCAAAGUUUAAAUCAAAGUUUAAUCAUUACGGAAAGACAAACAUAUUUCCGCAACUGUGUAUCCUGCAAGUAAGAGUAAAGGCAUUUUGGUCGGGUCACAGAUGCUAAUCUCUCUCUUUUUCUAUUCACAAACUAUAAAGGGAGUUGACAGCACCUGUAAAUGGUUUUCUAAAGCUAGAUUAUAUCUAAGGUGAUUAUUAUUUACACCCACUAUAAAGACUGCUCUUGUGAGCCAAGAAGUCUGUUCCUGUGAGGUGAGUUUACCAAAAAAGGGAUUUCUUGCAGGAGGAUUCAGUGGAUUGAGGAUCCAGGGUGAGGGGUAGUUCAAGCACAUGGAGUGCCUUGUCAUGUGUUGGAUUUGUGUAACCCGGGGACUGAAAUACAGUCAGGAUCUGUUGCAGUUCUGCAUUCUUAGACAUGCGGGAUGAAGGGAAAGCUUCAGGUCUCUCAACCCGAGUUUUUAAAGCAGAGGCUGACCUUUUACCACAGCCCAGUUCUGCUCCUCAUAUGAAGAUCAACGUGAGGCAGCAAAAGGAUAGGAAAGGAGAUGACAUUCCAGUAUGAAUCAGAGGGAACACAUGCUUAUUUAGUGAAGUAAAGACAUAUUAAUGUAGAAAUCCUGCAGCCAUCACUAACUCACUGUGGCUGGAAGCAAAGACUUUUACUUUGACCAGCUUUCAUCUGCCAUACUUCUGUGAAGCUUUUGUAAUGUCCACAGUUUAGGUGUGAAAUUUUUUAGUGUGAAAUCCACUCCCCUUUAGUGCAUCUUUGUCGGCCAAUUUGCAUACAGGAGAGUCACAUAAUUCAAAGACUUUUCUGUCUCUACUUACUGCUUCUACAAGGUUCCCCUGAAAAAGGGUCACUUUGUCACAAUUGAUUUUCUAACUGUAUUUUAUCUGGUCCUACCAUUUCUGUAACUUCAGCGUGUGCAUUUCAUUAAGCCUUCCCUAUAAAAUAAUUCCACACACAUAUAAUCAAACUCAUUUGCCAGCUUUAUAAACUAGAACCAGACACAUAUAAAAUGCUUUAGACAACUAAAAAUGGAAAUGACAGAUAUUGGACAUAUGAAAUGAAAUAUUUAAAGGAAGGGGUUUUUUUUUGUCAUGUGAGUUCCAAAACGUUAUUAAUCGAAUAGGAGGUAUCUUUCCCUGUCGGUGCUGCAUGGCUGCUGAGCGUGCCGGUGUAAGGGAGCCGUGGCACCCCGCCACAGAAACACUACGUCCUUUUAAAACACAGAGGGAAACCUGCAACGGACGGGUGUUUCGGCGUUUGUAGCAACAAAGGAAUCAGGAAGAGGCAGCGAUGUCGAUGUUUGCAAAAACAGCCGCCGACUGCAACGAGAGCAAAAGCGUGUUCUGCAGAGCCCCUCCUGGCCAGCACGGGCACCGGCGUGGCCGCGGGGCAGGGCGGGGAGCGGGCAACUUCGGGGAUCGCGGGCGGGAGAAGGAGAGCUUCGGGGGGGGGUUAUUUUGUUUUCCUCCCAGUGAAAUGAAUUCUUGGCUUAUUUGCAUGAACCGAGGUUGUUUUAAGUAAUUUGCCUGUUAACAGUGUUAUGCAAAUGCUAGCUAGCUAUUUAAAGGGGGAAAUAGAAGAAAAAAAAAAAAAAA